rnacentral:rRNA from 1 species
GGUUAUGACCACAGGUUCGGCAAGAACCGCGAGGGGGAUUUUGAAUAUCUCCGGGAGUAUGCCGCGAAGUAUGAUUUUAGGAUCGAACGGCUGGAUCCAUUGUUGGUCAAUGAGGCCCGUGUCAGUUCCACCCGGAUCAGGAAGGCUCUCGAAUCGGGAAAUGUCAGGAUGGCCAAUGAAUACCUUGGCUACCCCUUUGAAC